rnacentral:rRNA from 1 species
UAAUGCUAAUGUACAACUAGCAUCCGCCAGGGAACUACGAGCACCAGCUUAAAACCCAAAGGACUUGGCGGUGCCUCAGACCCCCCUAGAGGAGCCUGUUUUAGAACCGAUAACUCCCGUUCAACCUCGCCACUCCUCGUCCUUUCCGCCUAUAUACCACCGUCGCCAGCUUACCCUGUGAAGGAAAAGUAAGCGAAAUGGAGACUCUCCAAAACGUCAGGUCGAGGUGUAGCACACGGAGUGGGAAGAAAUGGGCUACAUUGCCUGACUUAGGCUACCAACGGAAAGUCGCCUGAAAAGACUAUUUGAAGGUGGAUUUAGCAGUAAGAGGGGAAUAGA